GAUGAACGCUGGCGGCGUGCUUAACACAUGCAAGUCGAACGAACCUUCGGGUUAGUGGCGGACGGGUGAGUAACGCGUGAGAAUCUGCCCUCAGGAGGGGGAUACGGUUGGGAAACGGCCGCUAAUACCCCAUAUGCCGCGAGGUGAAAUGAAUUUCGCCUGAGGAUGAGCUCGCGUCUGAUUAGCUAGUUGGUGUAGGUAAUGGCUCACCAAGGCAUCGAUCAGUAGCUGGUCUGAGAGGAUGAUCAGCCACACUGGGACUGAGACACACGGCCCAACUCCUACGGGAGGAAGGAGCAGUGAGGAAAUUUCCGCAAUGGGCGAAAGCCUGACGGAGCAAUACCGCGUGAAGGAUUAAGGCCUAUGGGUUGUAAACUUCUUUUCUCAGAGAAGAAUUUUGACGGUAUCUGAGGAAUAAGCAUCGGCUAACUCUGUG
rnacentral:rRNA from 1 species